rnacentral:rRNA from 1 species
GAUGAACGCUAGCGGCAGGCUUAACACAUGCAAGUCGUGGGGCAGCGCGGACUUCGGUCUGGCGGCGACCGGCAAACGGGUGCGGAACACGUACGCAACCUCCCUCAGAGCGGGGAAUAGCCUCUCGAAAGAGAGAUUAAUACCCCAUAGUAUCUUGAAGACACAUGUCUAUGAGAUUAAAGCUUCGGCACUUUGAGAUGGGCGUGCGGCUGAUUAGGUAGUUGGUAGGUAACGGCCUACCAAGCCGACGAUCAGUAGCUGAUGUGAGGGCAUGAUCAGCCACACGGGCACUGAGACACGGGCCCGACUCCUACGGGAGCAGCAGUGAGGAAUAUUGGUCAAUGGAGGAAACUCUGAACCAGCCAUGCCGCGUGGAGGAUGAAGGUCCUCUGGAUUGUAAACUCCUUUUAUAAAAGAAGAAACCCCAUUUUUCUAAAUGGGUUGACGGUACUUUAUGAAUAAGCACCGGCUAACUCCGUGCCAGCAGCCGCGGUAAU